GGAUAGGUGUGCCAGGGAAUGUGGACAGAUACAGUGAGGGAUAGGUGUGCCAGGGAAUGUGGACAGAUACAGUGAGGGAUAGGUGUGCCAGGGAAUGUGGACAGAUACAGUGAGGGAUAGGUGUGCCAGGGAAUGUGGACAGAUACAGUGAGGGAUAGGUGUGCCAGGGAAUGUGGACAGAUACAGUGAGGGAUAGGUGUGCCUGGGAAUGUGGACAGAUACAGUGAGGGAUAGGUGUGCCAGGGAAUGUGGACAGAUACAGUGAGGGAUAGGUGUGCCAGGGAAUGUGGACAGAUACAGUGAGGGAUAGGUGUGCCUGGGAAUGUGGACAGAUACAGUGAGGGAUAGGUGUGCCAGGGAAUGUGGACAGAUACAGUGAGGGAUAGGUGUGCCAGGG